rnacentral:rRNA from 1 species
UGGUGGAUGCCUUGGCUUAAGAAGGCGAUGAAGGACGUAGCGUGGCGGCGAUACGCUUCGGGGAGGUGCCGAGCAACCUUUGAUCCGAAGAUUUCCGAAUGGGGAAACCCCUUCGCGUAAAACGCGAAGACGCGCAUAGCACGGAAAUCCUAAACGCUAAACUCUAAACUCUAAACAAAUUCAAAAUUCCAAAUUCAAAAUUUCGAACAUCUCAGUUUGGACUUUGAGUUUUGUGGUUUGGCUUUUGCUUAGGAUUUAGGAUUUAGAAUUUAGAGUUUCCGCGCUGUGCGCGGGCAUACCCUGGGAAGUAAAACAUUUCAGUACCAGGAGGAGUAGAAACCAAUAAGUAUUCCGUCAGUAGCGGCGAGCGAACGCGGAGAAGCCCAAACCGAUGCGUAGCAUCGGAAAUUCCAAAUCACAAUUUCCAAAUCACAAACAAAUCACAAAUUCAAAACUCAAAAUCACAAACGGGGACGCUUCGUUUGAGUAUUUCGGGCUUUGGAUAUUGGGUAUUGUUUGUAAUUUGGUGCUUGGGUAUUGGAGAUUCCGCUGCUGCGCAGCGGUGUUGUAAGGCAGUGACGUCGUAUUUAUACGAGGAAAGUUACAAAAUUGUUUGUUAGUGGAAGUUGCUGGAAAGCGACACCCCAGAGGGUGAUAGUCCCGUACACGAAAACAAACAAUCUUUCUUGUUACUGUUCUUGAGUACCUCAAGACACGAAUAGCUUGAGGGAAUCCGCCGGAACUAACCGGCAAGGCUAAAUACUUCUUAAGACCGAUAGUGAACUAGUACCGUGAGGGAAAGGUGAAAAGCAGCCCGGUGAGGGCGGUGAAAUAGACCUGAAACCAUAUGCUUACAAGGAGUCAGAGCCGUGCUUCGCACGGAAAUCCUAAACUCUAAACUCUAAACUCUAAACAAAUUCAAAACUCAAGAUUCAAAGUUCUAAACGGGGCGAUCUCGUUUGAGC